AACGAACGCUGGCGGCGUGCCUAAUACAUGCAAGUCGAGCGCAGGAAGCCGUCUGAACCCUUCGGGGGGACGACGGUGGAAUGAGCGGCGGACGGGUAAGUAACACGUAAAGAACCUGCCCAUAGGUCUGGGAUAACCACGAGAAAUCGGGGCUAAUACCGGAUGUGUCAUCGGACCGCAUGGUCCGCUGAUGAAAGGCGCUCCGGCGUCGCCCAUGGAUGGCUUUGCGGUGCAUUAGCUAGUUGGUGGGGUAACGGCCCACCAAGGCGACGAUGCAUAGCCGACCUGAGAGGGUGAUCGGCCACACUGGGACUGAGACACGGCCCAGACUCCUACGGGAGGCAGCAGUAGGGAAUCUUCCACAAUGGACGAAAGUCUGAUGGAGCAACGCCGCGUGAACGAUGAAGGCUUUCGGGUCGUAAAGUUCUGUUGUAAGGGAAGAACAAGUGCCGCAGGCAAUGGCGGCACCUUGACGGUACCUUGCGAGAAAGCCACGGCUAACUACGUGCCAGCAGCCGCUGUAA
rnacentral:rRNA from 1 species